AAAAAAAAAGCACUGAAAUUGAAGAAAUGAGACCCCCACACCCAGCUGUACCAGCUGCUUGCUUUGUGAGGGGACAGGCAGCAACGACUGGGCGGGGUGCGUGCCCUUGAGAUGACCCCGGCCCCGCCGCCUCAGGUGAAAAGGGCGGGAAGGACUAGGCGGGAAGCGAGAGCAGCUGCAAGCAAAAGACGCGGGAAGCGACUGAGGUGUUCUGCGCUCCUAUUGGCUGGCGGGCAGCCGGUGCACCUAUAUAAAGCGCACGGGCGACAACUAAAGAACAAACGUUCGCCUCAGGGCGUGACUGCGGAGGCGCUUCUCGGAGAGAAAGGGAGCAAGUAGAUCCGCGGGCUGAGGUGGUGGAGAUGGAAAGAAAACCUCGUGGCACAUCUGUGGACAGGCACUAAUAUGGAAAGGAGGAAAAUGCUGCAGGAGUGGUGGAGAAAAUUGGGGACGAAGCUCUAUAGAAAGGAAGGAGCUGCUGCAGAAGGUCGAGGGAGCGGCGCGUGGAACUGCGAGACAAGAGGGAGCAUGGAAAUGGAGCAAGAACUGUUCAGUUGCUGAUGUCUGAGGAAUUCAGUCCAUCAUGUGCAGGACACAGUGAGAAGAUUUUGGGUGAAGAGGAAUGGUAGACAGUAUCUGAAAUGAAUCUAGAGGCUGUUUUAAAGUUUGACAACACUGAAGUAAUUGUGAGUAUUACCUUAGAAAACAACCAUCAGUUUUCAAGAUUUCCAAACACAAGAGUAAAAGCAACAUUUUAAAAAAUAUGGAAAGCUUUGAGUAUGAAACUGAUAGCCGAGACUUUAAAGUUGUGAUUCAUAGAAAAGAUAUGAAAUUUCAAAGAGCAAACUUCUCUUCAAAAGGAAUUCUAAUUGAGAACAAGGAUCUUCAAUAUUCAUCUCUGUUUUUCUUCCAUGAAGAGUGAGUGCUUGGUAACCAUUACAUUGAUAGCUGAGAUAUUUCUUACAUGUAUUUUAGUUUGGAUAAAUACAUGAGCAUACUUAGUAAUAAAUCCAAACAUAAAUGUAUGAAACAACCAGCUAGUUAACUGAGUUACAUAUUUUUCAUUCAUUAAAUACUAGUUUCUAUAAAUGUUUUUAAUGUAUAUAUAUUUACAUAUAUAUAGAUAAAGGGAAAUAUUUAAUCCUUCCUUUAUAAGGUCUUCUGAGCUGCGUUCUGGCUCUCAGAAGCUUGCUAAAUUGCCUUUUUCACCAAUCCAGUAGAGGAGUAAAGCAAUAAAGGUUGUAAAACAUUGGUAAAUCCAUCAGUUGAGCCUAGACUGUUACAGUGUCAAUCAUUAAUCCACCAGUUUAAGUACGACACAUUAUUCUUCUGUAUCGUAAACGUUGUUAGCAAGUUAACCAAGACAUGAUUGGAUUAUUUAUUUUCACUCAUUUGAUUUAGGUGUUUUAUGUGUUAUUUCAUAAUCCCUUGGGUGUGAGAGGAAUUCAAACCUGUUUGCGGCACAUUUAGUUUGUUUAUAGAGCUAAUGCUUUUCACUGCUGUGUCUCUAUCUGUUUAAGAAGUUACUGUUCAGUGAAACUGAGAUUGAAACGGGAACCAGGUUUAAAACAAAUACUGAAAUUAUUAACUGCAGUAUGUUAUAACCUAAAUGCAUAAUGAAAACUAUAGGCUUUCAUGUAAAUUUUUGUGGAAAUAAAUGAUUUUCUAAAGGCAAAUUGUGCUAUCAUUCAUGUAAGCAACUUGUAAGCAACAUAAAGGUAACGUAUGUAUUGUAACAUACGUAAAUACAAUUGUAAUAUUAUGGAACACAUUUAUGGAAACAUGUAUCAGGAUAUUUUUAUUUAGAUUCUUUCCCUCAAAUAUAUAUACAAUGAAAACUACGGAGGUAAGUUUAAAGGUGUGUAGCUAGUCUAGGUCAUGUAAGAUACAAAGAUAUUGUUGUGGAGGAGCAAUAUAGAAUUCCUACUUCUUAUUUGUUAUCUUACAAUUUCAAAGUGAACUUGUAUGACUGUAGCAACAUUUUUUAUCUCAGCUGCUCUUGGCUUGUUUCUGGAAAAUAUCUAGUAAAAGGUAAGUACUUCUCUGAAUAUCUAGGUUUUCUCGAACUUGUAUCAGUUUGCAUGCGUAUAUAUAUAAACAUAUAUAAUUAUGCAUUAACAUCAUGCACAAAUUGUGUAUUACAUAUGUAUUAUGCUUAUCUAUCUAUGCUGUAUGUAUGUAUACAAUACAGAGAGAUUGUGUGUAUUUAUGAAUAAAUGUACUUACAUAGAGAAAAUAAAUGG